rnacentral:rRNA from 1 species
AGCGAAAGGGCAGCGAAACCGCGAGGUCAAGCAAAUCCCAUAAAGUUGUUCUCAGUUCGGAUUGUAGUCUGCAACUCGACUAUAUGAAGCUGGAAUCGCUAGUAAUCGUAGAUCAGCAUGCUACGGUGAAUACGUUCCCGGGUCUUGUACACACCGCCCGUCACACCACGAGAGUUUGUAACACCCGAAGCCGGUGGAGUAACCAUUUGGAGCUAGCCGUCGAAGGUGGGACAAAUGAUUGGGGUGAAGUCGUAACAAGGUAGCCGUAUCGGAAGGUGCGGCUGGAUCACCUCCUUU